rnacentral:rRNA from 1 species
CCUACGGGAGGCCGCAGUAGGGAAUCUUCCACAAUGGCCGAAAGCCUGAUGGAGCAACGCCGCGUGGGUGAAGAAGGUCUUCGGAUCGUAAAACCCUGUUGUUAGAGAAGAAAGUGCGUGAGCGUAACUGUUCACAUUUCGACGGUAUCUAACCAGAAAGCCACGGCUAACUACGUGCCAGCAGCCGCGGUAAUACGUAGGAUCCGAGCAUUAUCCGGAGUGACUGGGGGUAAAGAGUUGCGUAGGUGGCAUAAUAAGUAGCUAGUGAAAUCUGGUGGCUAAACCAUUCAGACUAUUAGCGAAACGGUGAAGCUUGAGACCGUGAGGGGUAACUGGAAUUUAUAGUGUAGGAGUGAAAUCCGUAGAUAUUGGAAGGAACACCAAUAGCGUAGGCAGGUUACUGGGACGGUUCUGACACUAAGGCACGAAAGCGGAGGGAGCAAACGGGAUUAGAGACCCUGGUAGUC